rnacentral:lncRNA from 1 species
CAAAUACACACAUCCCAGACAACACGGACUAAACUUUCCUCCCCUUCUCGUCAGUCUGUGCGUGCCUCGCCAAGUCGUGAGAGCGCAAGAAGAACUCCCCGCUCUCUAGCACGCGUUUUAAUUCCGCUACCAAGGUUGGUAAAUAUAUUCUCUACAAUGUCGAAAAGUUAUUGUGUUUAUGUAUGUUUUGUUAUUUUUAGAUUAGCCUGCUGUUUUAUGUAAGUGUGCUUUUCACUCGAGGCUGUUUCAGCUUGUUCAGCAAUCGGCGACCCCGCCUACCUCAUCAGCUCUCUUUUGUUCUUUCUCCGUUCAAUUUCAUCUCCCGAACACAAGGUCCGCUCAUUCCCCGUUGAUUAAUGCUAAUUUGUUGUAUGAUUAUGCGCAGCCGUGGAUGUCUCAGUGUGGUGUUCGGGUUACUUUGGUGAUGGGUGCAUCAUGGGAAACAAGAUCAGCAGGAGACGGGACACCGCACCAGCUGAGCAGGAGGCUGCAGAGGAGGCAAUCGACACGCAGGAAGCUGUGGUGGAGGCAGUACCUGAUGAGCCAGUGGUGGUUGCAGAGGCGACUGAACCAGUAGUAGAAUCAGUGCCAGCACCGGUACAGGAGGCUGAGCCAGAGCCCCCCAAGCAGCCAGAGACGGAGCCCCCAUUGGAGAAGCCGGUGAGCGCCCCACUGGUAGACCUUGCACCAGCGCCGACCCCAGCACCGCCUGAACCCGAGCCCCUGGUGUCAGUCAGCAAACCGGUGUCAGUCAGCAAACCGGUGCCAGUCGGCCCAGAGCCAGUCGUGCCAGUCGGCCCAGAGCCAGUCGUGCCAGUCGGCCCAGAGCCAGUCGUGCCAGUCGGCCCAGAGCCAGUCGUGCCAGUCGGCCCAGAGCCAGUCGUGCCAGUCGGCCCAGAGCCAGUCGUGCCAGUCGUCCCAGAGCCAAAGCCAGUCGUCCCAGAGCCAAAGCCAGUCGUCCCAGAGCCAAAGCCAGUCGUCAUAGAACAUGAGGCUAUCCCAGAGCCCUUCCUCUGCCCCGCCCAUCUUCUGGACCUGGGUGUCCCUGAGCUGACCCCUGAGCCCCUCGAUGCUCCCCCCUCUCACAGAUCUGCCCCAGACCAGCCCACAGACCUGGGGGAUGCAGAAUGCUAUGACGACAACGUAAAGGCUGCCUGGAAUUCUGUCUCCGUCCCGGAAGAGUCCAAAGAAUCCCCGGAGAAGCCAGCGACCAUGGCAGAGCAGCUUCUGUGUGAUGUCAGGGGCAGUGAGCUGAGCAAAGCAGACUCUUCAAGCACUUAGACCUGACGGCCGACGACAUCAUGGUCAAUGACGUCAAUACAGACGACAUUCCGGAAGGUGACAUGUCCACUGAGCUGAUAUGAGAUGGGCGGAGAAAAUGUAUUUAAAAAAAAUAAAUAAAAAAAAUAAACAGAACAAUGACGUUCUGAAAAAGGCAGACGCAGCAGAAAAAAAAUGCAUUAAAAAAAUAAUACAACUUUGAUCUGAGAAGGCUAAAGGGAAAACUAAGCAGCUUAAGGAGACUGUGAAGUAGCACUCAGAUAAUCUGAGACCUGGGAUAUAUUCACUAGUAACCAAACAGAACCAAGCGUACGCAAACGGAAUGAAACUGGGUGGGACUUACCUGAAAUUGUCCAAUAGAUAUUCUAGUUUCCGUUGCCGAACCAUUUUGGAAUAAUGAUUAGACCCCAGGUAAUACAGACGUGCCUUUUCUUUCUGAGUGUAUGUUGACUAAAGGGAUGUGGUGAUGGGUGGCCAGGGCAGGAGAGUGAGUACCAAUCAUCGCCCUCUGAGCCAUAUAGACAUAACACUGCAUAGCAGAACACUUACAGUAACUAUAUAUGGUAACUAUGUAUGACAAUACGUUUGCCUUGGUGUGUACACCUGAUGAAUUGUAACAACAUUUGAAAUCGGCCUACAUGCUAUGAUGUACAUUCAUGCUUGGACUCUCACAAUCCUUCCUCUUUAACUCUGAAACGGAAGUGACCUUAUAUUUUCUUGAUGGUGAGAAGUGGUUUGGAGGAAUGUAUUAAAGGUGAUGGUCUGGUUGUGAAAAUAAAAUAUUGUUCCACCUUGAAGAUGAUUCUUUGUUUUCAAUCUUUAAAGAGACUGAGGGCUGCAAGUGCAAUGUUUCCAAGACUGACAUUUUAUAUUAAGGC